rnacentral:lncRNA from 1 species
UCAUGAUCCAAGGCCAAUAGAAGUUCACAAAGGCCACACAAAUAUAAAAUUUAAUUAAAUGAAAUAAAAAUGCACCAAAAGUAUUUUUAAAUAGAAAUAAAAUGACAAAUCCAUAAAGUCUUUCAAAACACCAAAUAAAUGGCCAAGAAAAUUAUGGAAGGUCGGAAAUAAAAUAAAAAGCAUGUAAUAAAUUUUUCAGAAUUUUAAAAAUGCAGAAAAGUAUUUUUAAACCAAUUAAAACAAAGAUGAAAAA